AACGAACGCUGGCGGCAUGCCUAACACAUGCCAGUCGAACGAGAUCCUUCGGGGUCUAGUGGCGCACGGGUGCGUAACGCGUGGGAAUCUGCCCUUAGGUUCGGAAUAACAGUUAGAAAUGACUGCUAAUACCGGAUGAUGACGUUAAGUCCAAAGAUUUAUCGCCUGAGGAUGAGCCCGCGUAGGAUUAGCUAGUUGGUGUGGUAAAGGCGCACCAAGGCGACGAUCCUUAGCUGGUCUGAGAGGAUGAUCAGCCACACUGGGACUGAGACACGGCCCAGACUCCUACGGGAGGCAGCAGUGGGGAAUAUUGGACAAUGGGCGCAAGCCUGAUCCAGCAAUGCCGCGUGAGUGAUGAAGGCCUGAGGGUUGUAAAGCUCUUUUACCCGAGAUGAUAAUGACAGUAUCGGGAGAAUAAGCCCCGGCUAACUCCG
rnacentral:rRNA from 1 species